GCAUGCAGAAUUGGAGGGCUCAGUAGAUGUUUAUGUAGAGCAUCUCAGUGUAAAUGACUUAAGAAGGGAAUUUAGUAGAGGGAUUGAUGAAAUGCAAAACAAGGGUAAAGGUGUUGUGAUUGAGGAGAUUGAUGAGGAUGCUAAUAAUGCAGUUCCUGAGAAUAAUGUGCAAGAUGGAAAUAUAAAUGAUGGUGAGUUAGAUAAUGGGGAGGCAAGUAGGAUGACAACAACAUAUUUAAUUAAUAAUGGUGAGUUUGGUAUUUUAAGUCAGCAACAUAUUGAUGAGAUGGAGUUAGGUGAUUAUAAAGCUAAGGAUGGAGGGGGAAGUAAGGUUGAUGUAGGAGGGAAUGAGGUUAAGGGUGAUGUAAGGGGGAAUGAGGCAGAUGAAAUGGUUAAUGAGUUUGAGCAUGUAGAACAGGGUGAAUUUAUAAAUGAGCGUGGUGUUAAUGAAAAUGAAGAACAAGGUGAAAAUAGCCAUGCCAGCCCUGGUGUUAAAGAUAAUGUAGCUCAAAAUGAAAUAGUUAAAGAUACUUUUGAAAGAUUUAUAAUGUUAGCUUCUAAUUUUAAUGAUUUCUUUGAUACAAUAAUGGAAGGAACCAUGUAUGAUGAAGCUAUUGGUAAUGGAUAUGAUAAAGGUAGAGUUGAAGAGGGUGAUUGUAAUGACAACCCUACUGGGCCUAUUGACAGCCACACAGAGGUUAGGGUGGAAGAGGCAAACCACAGUGUCUAGAAACAAAGGCGAACUGAAGUUGAUCUAAUGGAUAAAAAUUAUGAUAUGGAUGAUGAUGAUGUUGAUCUGUAAGAUGUUUUGCAUGAAUUGGAUCAAAGAAAUAAAAUAAGGAUGAAAGGCAGGCCUUUGGGCAGUCAAGAGGGAGUUAGGUUAGCUGGUAUGGAUGCUUCUAUGUUGUUUGAAAAUGAUGAAUCAGAUUCUGAAUAUGCAACUUCUGAUGAAUUAUUUAGUGAAUCAACUUCAGAGGAUGAGGCACAUGUGAAGUAUUCUGAAUUUAAUUUUGCAAGGGAUAUUAAUGAUCCAAUUUUUAAAAUUGAGAUGGUGUUUGCAAAUAAUCAUGAGUUUAAAGAAGUGGUUAGCUUUACAUUAUCUUGAAAUAUCUAGGCAUGAUCCAGAUUGGAGUAUACGUAGGAUAAUUGCAAGAGUUAAAGCAUAUCAUAGCCUAACGAUUAAUCCUAUCAAAGCAUGGAGGGCAAGGGAAUUGGCUUUGCAGGCAAUAAAUGGGGAUCAGACUGAGCAGUAUGGCAAGUUACAUGAUUACAAAUUAGGGCUUUUAAGAACUAAUCCUGGAAAUACAGUGAUGUUCAAGAAGGAAAAGGGAAAGUUUCAAGGAGUGUAUAUUUGUUUGGCUGCAUUAAAAGCUAUUUUUAAGGAUGUUUGUAGACCUCUCGUUUGUCUUGAUGGCUACUGGUUGAAAGGGACUUGUGGGGGCUAGUUACUGUCAGUAGUUGGGAUUGAUCCCAAUGAUUACAUUUUCCCCAUUGCUUAUGCAGUGGUACUAAUAGAGAAUAAAGAUAAUUGGCAAUGGUUUCUUGAUCAAUUAAAGAAAACGUGGAGAUCUACAACAGUCAUCACUGGGCCUUUAUGUCUAAUAGACAGAAGGGACUGAUGGCAGUGAUUGCUGAAAUGUUUCCACUCUCAGAACAUAGGUUGUGUGUCAGACACAUUUACACCAAUUUCAGAGGGACUUUUAAGGGCAAGGAGUUGAAAGAUUUGUUAUGGAAUUCUACUAGGUCCACAUAUAGGCAGAAAUUGGACUAUUGAUUAGAUAAAAUUGAGGAAAAAAAUCCUGCUGCAAGGGAGUGGUUGAGAGAAAGGCCAUGUGGGCAUUGGUCUAGGGCUUGCUUUAGUAUAGUUCCUACGUGUGAUAUGUUAACCAACAACCUAUGUGAAUGUUUUAAUAGAUACAUUUUGGAUAGUAGGAAUAAAGCAAUCUUAACGAUGCUUGAGAUGAUAAGGACCAAGUUGAUGAUCAAGCUGUUUAAGAAAAGAGAGAUGAUGCAGAAAGUAAGUGGUGAAAUAUGUCCA
rnacentral:misc_RNA from 1 species